CAUAUUCCUAAAAUGGAAAACAUUAUAUUUUUAUAACGAUUUCUAUUAUUAAAAUCGUUAUGCCUCGUGAAAAGAACACGGAUUGAACAGAAAAUAUUUAUAAUUUUACUUAGAUUUUCCAGAAGAAAACAAAUCAAUUAACUGUAAGAAAAGAUGAAUGCAAUGUGUAUCAUAUGGGACUUUUUAUGUAUACGAACUAUUUCAAAGCAACUUGCAGUAAAUAUUUUGAAAAGCUUUAAUUCAUAAUAAUGAAUUAAUUGUUUAACAACCUCUUGAUGUUACUUUAUUUCGUAAUUAUUGCUUUUAUUCAUGCAUAUAUGAGAAUAUAGAAAUACCACUAUAUGAUAGUAAAGAAUACUAAUAUCCAAAUAUUAUCUACGUAUUUUUAAAAAAUUCUAAUUUCAAUAAAUUAUUAUACAAGACGUGAAACAAAAGAUCAGUUUUCAAAACUUCUCCAUUUGUCAACCUUAUUUCAAAGUAACAUUUAAAAUAAUAAUUACGCUAAAAUUAAAAUGCGCGUUAUAGAUUAUUUAACGUGACAAUCGCUAAUUAUGAACAACUAUAAUUUUAAAACUGCAACAUUUUUUUUGUUGACAAAAGAAAUAUAAGUUAUUUGUAUUUGUACUAAAUACCUUCGAAAACAAAUAAAUAAGUAGUGUAUAUAAUUGAAAGAAUUCUAUUUAUUAAAAAUGCUAUAAUUAAAUAUCUAAAUAUAUCUUUAAAAAAUUUACUAUGUAGAAAAUUGAAUACAUAUCAUAUUUUAAUUUAGAUUUUAUACAUAUACAUUUAGUCCUUUAACGGCUCUUUCAAAUGUCAAACAUAACCUAUGCUUUCUUAACGAUAAUUAACAAUUUUAAAAUGAUAUUUAACAAAUGUCAAUAAUAUAGCAUGUUUCAAAACAUUAAGCGGUUUCAAAUGACAGUGGUUUCAAAGUCUCUCGGCUAUUGCAAUGUGUAAAGGAAAGAUGUAGGGAAGGAAAAAUUAAGAAAAAAUUAUUGCGUAUAAAAAAAUCAUUUGACAAAGGUAUAAAAAUGUAUAGUAUAAGGUAUAAAAAAUGUUAAAUAAACUUCUGGAAAAUCUGAAACUUAUAUUUGGUAUAUAUGUAGAUAUUCACAUUCGAACAGCAAUUAAUAUAAAGUAAGGGUAUUUGUAAUGAUGUAGAAUAAUGAGCAUAAUUUUUUUAUUUUUUAUCCUUGUCCUUGUCUUUGUCCUUUUCUUUCUCUCUCUCUUUAUCUUUAUCUUUGUUCUGUUGAAGAGACCCAACGGCUUGGCGGACGGCUUCCGAAUGAGGAUCAACACCUGGUAAAUUUUCCAAAA